GGAUACGAUCUGCGGUCCGUCGGCGUCGCCCCUUCCGGGAAGACGUUGACUGCCGAGCUCGGACUCAUACGCAGCACGUCGGUCUACGGCCCUGACAUCCAAAACAUCAGCCUCUUCGCAAGGUGUGUAUGUGUGCGCUAAGCUUAGUUUACCGAGACUAUAGUUGCUGACCGGGAGAUCUACGUGCAGCUUUGAGACCAAGAAUCGGCUACGAGUCCGAAUCACCGACUCCCAUCACCGGCGAUGGGAGGUUCCUCAGCGCAUCAUCCCUCGGCAAUCCCCGCCACCAAUGCUCCAAGGCCGCC
rnacentral:lncRNA from 1 species